rnacentral:rRNA from 1 species
UUUGGUGGUUUAACGUAGAGGUCACACCCGUUCUCAUUCCGAACACGGAAGUUAAGCUCUAUAGUGCCGAUGAUACUCCUUUGGGGGAAAGUAGGUAGCCGCCAGAA